GAAAAAAUGAUGUUUGGAUUGAGGUAGAUAAAGCUUUGUCAGAGGUUAAAGGUGGCCUUGCAGAAAAUGGGUUUGUCAUCACUCAUACCAGUGCAAAUUGCAGUUUGGGAAGAAACAAUUAGACCCGGUGCUUUUGAGCGAGACCUUCGCAUAAAAUCACCAACCGGAAGGCAAUCUUCAAUUGCUCACGAAUUUCAGAGCUUACUAUGAGACCUAAGUCUGAGGCCAGCAUUUGCUAUGACCCAGAAGAUCUUAUGCAAG
rnacentral:misc_RNA from 1 species